rnacentral:tRNA from 1 species
GGAGAGGUGGCAGAGCUGGUCGAUCGCGUCAGACUCGAAAUCUGAAGUACGGGUAACCGUACCGUGGGUUCGAAUCCCACCCUCUCCGCCA